rnacentral:SRP_RNA from 1 species
GCCGGGUGUGGUGGCGCGUGCCUGUAAUCCAAGUUACCGGGAGGCUGAGACUGGUGGAUCGUUUGAGCUCAGGAUCUCUGAGCUGCAGUGGACUAUGUCGAUCGGGUGUCCCAAUAAGUUCGGUAUCGAUAUGGUGCUCUGGGGGAGGCCGGACCACCAGGUCGUCUAAGGAGGGUGCACCGGCCCAGGUCGGAAACGGAGCAGGCCAAAGCCCCCGUGCCGCUCAGUAGUGGGAUCGCGCCUGUGAAUAGAGGCUGUAGUGAGCCUGAGUAAUACAGUGGGACCCAGUCUUUU